UGUGAAAGAAAAGAACUGAGUAUGUAAAUUUGUGUUGAGUGAGCGCCAGCAAUCCUGCAGUUUCACCCGACUUAAUUAUAUUAAUAUUUGUUUAAUUGUGAUAAUGAUAAUUCUUGUCUAUCUGAUUGGUUAUUACUAAAUGUUCUGGAACAUUCUAAAAUUUGUCUUAUUCUGAUUGGCUCAACCAAGGUUAAAAUCAAGGUAAACCAGGUUUCUAACUUGUGGUACUUCAAGGGGUCCAGAUUUUUCAGUCCUUCUUGUCAAAAUUUCAACCUCACAGGUCUUCUUAAGGAUGACGAGGAGCUCACGUGGAUUCGAGUGAUUCGUGUCGCAAUGGGGAAAAUUGUUGCAAAAAGGUGAAAGAAUAGAAAUAUAUUGUUACGAAAGAACCAUUAACUAACAUCUCUGUGAAGUGUGUUGCCAUUUAAAAAACAUUUGAACUUUUCACACUAGAGAAAUUUUAAGAGAAAGAAUUUAAUAAAAUAAAAU